rnacentral:lncRNA from 1 species
AACAUUUAAUUGCAGUUCUUGACGGGCCUUGUAUAGCAUAAUUCCAAGCUAUAUCACUUCGUUUACUAUUAUCGGAUGAUGCCAUUUCAAUUUUCAGCGCUGUUUUAAAGAAAAAUAGAGCAAUAAAUCAAAUAAAUUUAAGCAACUUAGUAGAAUUGCAGAUUAAUUUUUCUUGUUUUAUCUGUGCAGGUUACAGAGCACAGGUCGAGUGGUCGAGUGGUGCUGACAGCUCUGUUUUUUUUUCACAGUCGACAGGUCGAGACUGAAAAAAAAAACAGAGCAGUGCUUGACUGAAAAAAA